rnacentral:rRNA from 1 species
CAGUAGCCGCGGUAAUACGUAGGGUGCAAGCGUUAAUCGGAAUUACUGGGCGUAAAGCGUGCGUAGGCGGCUAAUUGAGUCGGAUGUGAAAUCCCCGAGCUUAACUUGGGAAUUGCAUUCGAUACUGGUUAGCUAGAGUGUGGGAGAGGAUGGUAGAAUUCCAGGUGUAGCGGUGAAAUGCGUAGAGAUCUGGAGGAAUACCGAUGGCGAAGGCAGCCAUCUGGCCUAACACUGACGCUGAGGUACGAAAGCAUGGGGAGCAAACAGGAUUAGAUACCCCCGUAGUCCCUGUCUCUUAUAA